UUAGGCUUGGCAAACGUAUAUGCAACCUUGUUGCCGUUUGCCACAGGGGAAUACAGGUGAAAAUCCUGAACAGAUGCGCUACCGUGAUUGCUAAAAGCAUAAGCCGGGAACCUAUUCAUUAUAUACAGGCAUA
rnacentral:ncRNA from 1 species